AUUUCAAAUUUCAAAAUUCAUACAUAACAUUUGCCUCUCUCUCUCUCUCUCUCUCUCUCUCUCAAAUAAAUUCAGCUGCUUCUUCCUCAUAUCGUAACCCUAAUUCCCAGUUAAGAAUAUGAGUGAUUUUAUGUUGUUUAGGUAUUUCUUUAUCUUUUGCAACUGCAUCACCACUGAGAAAGGUUUGUUCAGCAACUUUUGGACUCGUUCGACUCAAACCACCAUUACUACCAUCAACAUCUCCACCGUCUUUCACACCAUCAGGAACAAGCGGUGGCAACGGCACAUGAGACGAAGACCAUGAAUCUGAUUGCCAAUACAUCUUCCUAUUACCAGAAAUCAAAUUAUUCAACCGAAACCCUAAUUCCCAAAUCGAUCCAAUUCUAUGGUGUUCUCCGGUUUUGUUAGUUUGAAUCUCAAUGUAUCGUACGAAGCAGACCGCUCUUAACUCCACUGGUGGAAAAGCACCGAGGAAGAAGCCUUACCGUUAUCGUCCUGUAACCGUCGCUCUCCGAGGAUGAUUUCGCAUUCACUGUUGUAUGAUAUUAAACAAGAAUCCAUGAAUGAUUCCCAGCAGCUAAGAAACAAGAUUUAGAGGACAAGAUGAUCAGGUUAUCAUCUAUGUUGAAAGAAGUAAGUUUCCCGUUUUAUAUGUACAUGUUUCGUCUGAUUAAUGUUGCUCCGGUUCAAUUCUUAUGUGAGGAAUCUGAAAUAGAGACCACUCGACUCAGAUUAUACAAAGUAAUAAAACCCUCAGUCACAACUAUAAUCAUUUUUUGAUGAGUUGCCGGUAUCGAUUUUUCUUAUAAAGUUGAUGAGUUGCCAGUACUGGAAUUGAAUAGGAUGUGAUUAACAACUAUGAAGCUUGAAGAUAAUCUGAAUGAAAGUUACAGUUUAUCAAAAGCCGAAAAGAUGAGGAACUCCCAUGAUGAUGAUGUUAACGUCAAGAAUGUUAUUCGUCUCAGAAGAGUGUCUUCGCUCAAUGAAUCUGCUACACAAUGUUUUGAUUUCGGUAUAAGUAAAGAGGCCACUAUGCGCGCUACAAGAAGCUUGAAGUUAACAUACGUAAAUGCGAAUCUUUUAAUGAAUUAUCUAAAUCAAGGAUCUCGUGACACUUAUUUCGCUAGAAGUUUUAGCCGGAAUGAAAGAAAUACAGUUUCUUUAUAUCUACAUAAUGAUCAGAUUUCGCAGGAAAUUAUGCAAGAAAACUCUGUUUUAGUUACCGAGUAUCAUACACCAGAUGAAAAAGUUAAAAUCUUACAAGGAGAUGAGGAUCUUUCAUAUUUUUGAAGAAUCAUAUUGUUGGUCUUGAUUCUCAUUUCUCUCAUAAACUGGUGACAGUUCAACCGGGUAAUAUUAAGACAUACAAGUUGCUGAUGAUUAUCUCACUCAUUGACCUUAGAACUCCAGGAUAAGGUAUAGAAUUCAGGUCGAAAUGGAGUCCAUGCAAUUAGCGAGUUUCCUUGAGAACAAGUUCCUGAAAAUUUCUGGAGAUUAAAGGACUAAUUGAGAAUGGUAGAUAAAGAGGGAUGCAAAUAGAACACAGGUGAAAGAAAGCAACACCGGGCUCUGAAUCCAAACUAGAGAAUGAAAAGGUAUUAAAGUUAUGGAAGCCCAACUAGACACUUAUAGAGACAAACAUGGUGGAAUUAAGAAAGAAGAAAGUGAUGAAUUUGGGGGUGAUGGUGAUUACCAGCCAUCAGAUCAAGUCAGCAACAAAUCUUGAUCGUGUUAAAUCAACUUCCUCGUGAUGUAAAGGUUGCUUUCAUGGCCCUCAUUUUAUUGAUUUUUUUUUCAAUUUCAAUAUGAUUUUUAUAUAUUCCCAUAUUGUUACAAUUUCCAUAUAUGUUAUUGCAUCUUUGAAUGAAAAAAUAUCCUAAUCACAAAUAACAAUAUCAACACCCCCACUCUCCACUCCUCUUCAAAGUUGGUUUUUUAUCCACCAAGUUAUAGGAAUAACUUCUUAAGAUAAAGUUCUAUUUAGAAAAAAGAUUCCAUGGCAUACAGUAUAAUUAAGGUUUUUAAUUCAGGAUUUCAUGUUAUAUAAUGUUUAAAAUAUAGGUUUUUAAUUCAAGAUUCCAUUUUUGUUGCUUAUUUUGGUUUCUCGAUGAUGGGUUUUUGUGUUGUAAAAGUACGCACCUCCCUUGUCAGAGGUGCCAAAAUGGGCGUCCCAUUUUAAAAGCCGCAACUUCCUAUAUUGAGGUCAGUUUAAGUUCUCAUCUUUUCUUUAAGUUCUCAUCUUUUCUUUACUGUGUGCUAUAGGUGCCAAAAUGGACAUCCCAAUUUAAGCGUUAGAUGUGAUUACACGAUCUAUAUGCUAACACAAUGGCAUGAUUUUAUUUUUGAUAACAAACAAUCAGUUUAACAUUAGAUGUGACCACAUCCCAGUCUAGAAUGCACAAACCAACAUUUGUUGUAAAACUAUUAGAAAAUAAAACAGUGUUUGAAACUACUGUUGGGUUAAAACAGUUUUUUGAAACCACUGUUGGGUCAACAGAUGGACGAAAACAGAUGUUUGAAACCACUGUUGGGUGGCAUUUGGGUUAAAACAGAUAUUAGAAAAGAAAACAGUGUUUGAUACCGCUGUUGGGUUAAAACAUUGUUUUGAAACCACUGUUGAAACUACUGUUGAGUCGACAGAUGGAUGAAAACAGAUGUUUGAAACCACUGUUGGGUUAAAACAGUGUUUUGUAGCGAAACAGGGGUUGAAACUAGUGUUGGGUUAAAACGGUGGUUUGAAACCACUGUUGGGUUGUUAUAGAAAUUUGUUUCGUCUUUCUGAAUCUGAUAUAAGAUAUUUACUUACACAUGUCAAUUGUCAUGUGAUUUUGUUUUGGAAAGAGGAUGAAGACUGUUUGUUUUGGUGGUUUCAAAAUUGAUCGGUGUACUGUGAGAUUUCUUUAGUUUGUAGUUGUUUCUCUUUUAAUUUGUUUUCUUGAAAUAACUAAAACUUGAUCAAUAGUGUUUGGCUUUAAUUGUAUUAGAAAAUUUUAGUGACUUGGUUUCAGUCAUUACUCUGUGAUCCAAACCCAAACUCGCCAGCGAACUCAGAAGUAGCACCGUUAACAACAACAAGCUCCUCAAUUGGUUAAUCAAUCAUCGGCAUCUUCAUUGGCGAAGGUUAGAAUUGCAUUGAAGGUUAGAAUUCAGUUUGGAUUUGAAGCCAGGUGGAGUUAAACUAUGGGAAAUUGGUAAAGCUUAUGAUCGGUACAACCUUGCAGUUCAAAUUGAAGCAACAUUUAGGAAUGUACAUAUUAUUCAUAUUUACAUUCCAUGGUUGUUUUUAAGGUUGAUUAUGAUUUUGCCGUAGCUUCUCUAUUAUCAAAAGUUUUUCAUUACUCUUAAAA